UGCAAGAACUGGGAUUCAAGCCCCUGAGAAAUGAUCCUCUAUCCUCCCAGCUCUGUCAUGAUAAACUGUGACUGUAGAACUAUCUUCCUGUCAUCUCCACCUCCUGAUGGGGAGGAAGCAGCAGAAAGCUGAGUCCCAUGAGACAGGACAAAAGACAGAAGUGGAGCUGGGUCUGGUGGUGCACCCCUGUGAUCUCAGCACACUGAGAGACUGAGGCAGGAGGGUCACAAGUUCCAGCCCAGUGUCAGCAACUUUACAAUUUGAGGAGGUUGUGUUAAAAUGGAGAGUAAGAGACCGGUCAGGGAUGCAGCUCCGAGGAAAGGCCUUGCAUUCAAUCCCCAGGAGGAGGUAGGGGAGAAAACGAGGGACAUGCUCCCUUCAGCUGGAAAAAAAAUAUUCUUACGUCUCCAGAGGAAAAGUCCUUCACACUGCUACCUCAGCAGAGCUUGUCCCACCUCAGCACCACGUUUCUAGGAGUCGCCAGCCCUGCACGUUUAUGCUACCUGCAUGGAUGACGGACUCUGUUCCCAUUCAUGUCAGCACUGGGCCUCAUCCAACAAAGCCCUGCAGCUUAAAACAAUACCAUGCCAGAGUGGAGCAUUCUUGUGGCCCUGCCUCUGGACACCGGCCACAUGACCAUAUGCAUUACUUUUACAUCUCUGAAGAGCAGUGAGAGGCUUCAUACCAAACGAUAUGAUUUUGGUGAGUUCUUUGCUUGCAAGGGUAAGAAAAGAGAAUAAUUAUCCUAGCUAUAAAUUUCCAAACCAUAGCCAACACCCGCCUUAACAGAUGGAGUCAAAUACAGUCUUUCUUAAGGUUUAUACAACGUUAAAAAUAACAAACACAAUAUUUUGGCAA